CGUCUCCUCUUUCCUCCCGUUCAACCGCAGAUACACAGAAACCUCCCUCUCCUCUCCCUCUGCAACCCCGAGCUAGCUCCUGAAUUCGAUCUCCUCAUCCGCGCGCACCGCACCGGGGAACCCACCGACCUCAUCGGACAACGUCCAUCUGCGCCGUGCAACGACGUGCUCAUUCUACAUAAUGGCGCUACCGCCGACGACCCCAACUCCGACUCCGAGCUACAACCAUAUUCUUGUUAUCAUUGUCGAAUCUGACGGAAGCAUCAGGAUCAUCCGUAUUCAAAGCGAGGCCACCCAAUAGCAGCAGGUAUGGAACCUUUCUAUGCGGCGCUGCUACACAAACUUGCAUCAGAAACCAAUAUAGUGUCAUACGUGGCAGCCCCGCAGCGACCGUGGGCAACCGGAGGACCAUCCACCUAAAAUCCAUGCCCAAGACCAAGACCAAGGCCAACAUCGCUCGUGCGCAAGAAAUUGACUUGUAAAACACCAACUUCUUCUGAAAGCCAUCAGUUUAUGAAGCCAUGUAUACUUGCA